GAUGAAGAACCGUAGCGAAAUGCGAUACUUGGUGUGAAUUGCAGAAUCCCGUGAACCAUCGAGUCUUUGAACGCAAGUUGCGCCCGAAGCCAUUAGGCCGAGGGCACGCCUGCCUGGGCGUCACACGUCGUUGCCCCCCCAUCUACUCCUUCGGGAUUGCGGGGGGCGGAUGAUGGCCUCCCGUGCGCCUCGUCGCGCGGUUGGCAUAAAUGCCAAGUCCUCGGCGACGCACGCCACGACAAUCGGUGGUUGCGAAACCUCGGUUGCCCGUCGUGUGCGGUCGUCGCGCAUCGAGGGCUCGAAAAAAUUGCCGGGCUCCGGCUCGGCUUUCAACGCGUCCCCAGGUCAGGCGGGGUUACCCGCUGAAUUUAAGCAUAUCAAUAAGCGGAGGA
rnacentral:misc_RNA from 1 species